CUAGGACCAAGAGUAUUGAUGUCUGAAUGUUUUAAGUUAUAAAGCAAGCUAACAAAUUUGUCAUGUUUUGUUUUGUUGUGGGCUUUUUUGUUUUUCAGCUAACAAACUUGUUAUAUAAAUAAAUUCUAUGCUUGUACUUUGACAAGUAUAUUCUCCAUCAACUUGAAGACCAAGUUCAAAUUUAGAAAUCUUGACUCCUAACUCUAUCAGAAUGUUUGAAGUCUGGGGAGCAGAGCUAGAACUUGCCCUUUUGUCAUUUUUUCCUCCUCACCCCAGGAAGUUUCUUGCGUAUCCAUUUGAAUACUUCAAACCAUAUGUCCAAACUCUGUCUGUACAACCCCUCCAAAUAGCUACCCCUUGACCACUCUGAGGCCUAAGAAUACACGUACUGGAGGUGUAAUAGGCCUAGGGAAGAGGCCUUUGAAGGCUUUCACAAUUAAGAUCAAGUUUCUUAGAGCAAGAAAUUCCCAAGUCUCUGUAUGUGGACAGUCAGGGUGCCAGUGGAGAUAUCUCUGGUUUAACAGACUCCUUACUCCUUGGACAAGGUUACAACCCAAAAGGUUCAGAGUGGAGCCCAGGGAAGUACUGUUUCCAUUGACUGGUUUUGUAAAAUAUUUCUUUAACUCACUCUUCUACUAAGGAAUACUUUUAUAUAAAAUAGAUUGUACCUUUUAUAUACUUUCUUAUUUUGACAUUGAGCUAGAAUAAAAGUCUUGUCAGGUUAAAAGUUUCAAUGUUAUUCAUCCUUUGCUAUUUCUUCAUACAAAUAGAUUAUCACAACCUUUAUUCUUUAUUGAGUUAUUAACAUUUAACUUAAAAUGGAAACAAAGAUCCCUAAACCUUACUCUGUAGAUGUUCGGAAUCCCACCAGUGCUAUAUAGAAGUACCCAGCUCUGGCCAUUUAAACCAAAUAUUCAUUCAUUCUAUAUCAGACCUGUUCGAUGAUAUUCUGAAUGACCUGUGUAAAAAUCCCCUGGAUUCUCUUUAAGCUUCCCUCUUUUCAAAUGGCUCUUCUUAAAUAUCUUAAUGUAUUUCAUUGUUGUGCAAUCAGAGCAUAAACUAGCAUCAUUCUUUCUAGAGCCAGACAAUUGGACAGGCAGCCAUCCCCCAAAUAAGUGCCGAAAUUGUGGUUUUUCUCUUAGAAAUCAACUUUUAUGGGAUGAGUUUCAGUGAAUUGUUCAGAAAUGUCACAGCCCUCAAUAAUCCCACAACAAAGUGUUUUGAUUUUUAAACUAAUGAGGUUUAUUUCGUCCCAUACGUUCAAAUAAUGCACAUUUGCUAAGUUAAUACUUAGUCUUUAGGUAAAAGUGGUAAGUUCCCUUAUGAUUCAAUUUGUUGAGAGGUUUUUAAAUACCAGUUUUAUAUUAAUGGUCUAACCAUUAAUUUUUUAACAUGGUUUCUCUUAAAAUUUCACAUCUGUCAUUUGUGAUGCCACUUAUAUGUUUACAGAGUUGAGUUUAACUUAUUUUUUUAUAGUUCAG
rnacentral:lncRNA from 1 species